CUCAUCGCCUGUACAACCAGAGCGGCGCUAGGGUUUCAGUAGAAUUAUGCUUUCGUUAGGGUUUCAGAAAACACGAGGGAGGAGCUAGGGUUUGAUAAGUAGAGUCGAUACAUUAGCUAGGGUUCUUCUGCCGAUCAAAUACUAGUGAGAGAGAAACUUGGAUGUUUGUUGUACGCCUGAUAUUGCAAAUUCCUUGAUUGGAUUCCAAUAACAGUACGGUGGAUCAAGGGAUCUAUCGUCAGGCUACAUUGAACAACACGUAUAUACAGACAUCUUCGUGUAUAUACCUCUCCCUUUAGCUCCGAUUAUUCUAAUCUUAAUAGGAUUUAUCGGUGACAAGUAGCUGGAGCCUAAACUCAAAACUAUUAGAAGCAUAUGUGAUACAUUGAGAACCCAUGGUGUAUCUGCAUGGCUAGUGGACGAUGAGGUCUACCGAAUUUAGUUGGUUCACCGGCUUGGAUAUUUGAGUUAUCAAAAAAUAUGCUACAAAGUUUAUCAUCUUGUGGAUGAGGAGGGAAGCCCCCCAUAAUGUAAUAGACUGGUGAUUGUCCAUCUCAAGGCAUGAAGUAACGUGCUUUGAACAUAGUUUAAAUGGAUUUCCUACAUGCUUUGUACAUAAUUUAAAUGGAUUUACUUUUCUAA